CCGGCCUGCCCGGUGGCUUUUCUUGCUAAACGGCUGCAGUACUCUGACUGUGCAAAGGUAGCAUAAUCAAUUGCCUGUUAAUUGUAGGCUAGUAUCAACGGUUAGACGACAAAAGAACUGUCUCCUUCCUUUUAACUUGAACUUUUCUUAAAGGUGAGGAGACCUUUAAAAAUAAGUAGGACGAGAAGACCCUAUUGAGCUUUAGGUUAAAGCUUUAAGUUUAAUAAAGUUUAAUCUUUGGUUGGGGCAACCAUCUAUUUUAUUUGACAUAGAUGACCUUAGUUUGUAUUGAAGCUUUUUUUGACCCAUAAUAGUUUUGGAUUUUAGAAAAAGUUACCUUAGGGAUAACAGCGUAAUUUUUCUUAAUAGUCCAUAUUGCUAGAGAAGUUUGCGACCUCGAUGUUGGAUCAAGAUUACCUGGGGGUGCAGCAGCUUCCUGGGGUUGGUUUGUUCAACCAUUAAAAUCUUACGUGAUCUGAGUUCAGACCGGCA
rnacentral:rRNA from 1 species